GAUGAACGCUGGCGGCGUGCCUAAUACAUGCAAGUCGAGCGAACGGACGAGAAGCUUGCUUCUCUGAUGUUAGCGGCGGACGGGUGAGUAACACGUGGAUAACCUACCUAUAAGACUGGGAUAACUUCGGGAAACCGGAGCUAAUACCGGAUGAUAUUUUGAACCGCAUGGUUCAAAGGUGAAAGACGGUCUUGCUGUCACUUAUAGAUGGAUCCGCGCUGCAUUAGCUAGUUGGUAAGGUAACGGCUUACCAAGGCAACGAUGCAUAGCCGACCUGAGAGGGUGAUCGGGCACACUGGAACUGAGACACGGUCAAGACUCCUACGGGAGGCAGCAGUGGGGAAUCUUCCGCGAUGGGCGAAAGCCUGACGGAGCAACGCCGCGUGAGUGAUGAAGGUCUUCGGAUCGUAAAACUCUGUUAUUAGGGAAGAACAUAUGUGUAAGUAACUGUGCACAUCUUGACGGUACCUAAGCAGAAAGCCACGGCUAACUACGUG
rnacentral:rRNA from 1 species